UGGCGGCACUAGCGCGGUGGUCCCACCUGACCCCAUGCCGAACUCAGAAGUGAAACGCCGUAGCGCCGAUGGUAGUGUGGGGUCUCCCCAUGUGAGAGUAGGGAACUGCCAGGAA
rnacentral:rRNA from 1 species